AACGUAGGAGGCGAGCGUUAUCCGGAGUUACUGGGCGUAAAGCGUGCGUAGGUGGUUUGUUAAGUCUGCUGUGAAAUCCCCGGGCUCAACCUGGGAAUGGCAGUGGAUACUGGCAAGCUAGAGUGCGGUAGAGGGUAGUGGAAUUCCCGGUGUAGCGGUGAAAAUGCGUAGAGAUCGGGAGGAACACCAGUGGCGAAGGGCGGCUACCUGGACCAGCACUGACACUCAGGCACGAAA
rnacentral:rRNA from 1 species